rnacentral:rRNA from 1 species
AGUAGGGCCUGCCCACUGAAAUUUUAAAGGGCCGCAGUAUUUUAACUGUGCAAAGGUAGCAUAAUCAUUAGUUUUUUAAUUGAAAGCUGGAAUGAAUGGUUUGAUGAAAAAAUAGCUGUUUCAAUAUUAAUUUUUUAAAACUUUAUUUUUAAGUUAAAAAGCUUAAAUACUUAUAAAAGACGAGAAGACCCUAUAGAGUUUAAUUAAUAAAAGAUUAUUAAAUUUAAGAAUUAAUUUUUUAGUAUUUUUUUAUUAAUUUAAUUGGGGUGAUUGAAAAAUUAAAAAAACUUUUUCUAUAUAAAUACAUUUAUUUAUGAAUAUUUGAUCCAAAUAAUUGAUUAUAAGAAU